rnacentral:rRNA from 1 species
CAGUAGCCGCGGUAAUACAGAGGGUGCGAGCGUUAAUCGGAUUUACUGGGCGUAAAGCGCACGUAGGCGGAUAUUUAAGUCAGGGGUGAAAUCCCGCAGCUCAACUGCGGAACUGCCUUUGAUACUGGGUAUCUUGAGUAUGGAAGAGGUUAGUGGAAUUGCGAGUGUAGAGGUGAAAUUCGUAGAUAUUCGCAGGAACACCAGUGGCGAAGGCGGCUAACUGGUCCAUAACUGACGCUGAGGUGCGAAAGCGUGGGGAGCAAACAGGAUUAGAUACCCGAGUAGUCCCUGUCUCUUAUAA